GGAAGCGUGGCCGAGUGGUUUAAGGCACCGGUCUUGAAAACCGGCAAUCCGCAAGGGUUCGUGAGUUCGACUCUCACCGCUUCCGCCA
rnacentral:tRNA from 1 species